CACGUAGGGCGCAAGCGUUGUCCGGAAUUAUUGGGCGUAAAGAGCUCGUAGGCGGUCUGUUACGUCUGCUGUGAAAACCCGGGGCUUAACCCUGGGCUUGCAGUGGAUACGGACAGACUAGAGGUAGGUAGGGGAGAAUGGAAUUCCCGGUGUAGCGGUGAAAUGCGCAGAUAUCGGGAGGAACACCGGUGGCGAAGGCGGUUCUCUGGGCCUUACCUGACGCUGAGGAGCGAAAGCGUGGGGAGCGGACAGG
rnacentral:rRNA from 1 species